GUAAUAUAGAUAUGAAGUGUAUAGCCAAGUCCGUCUCUGUAAUCCUUAGCUAGGUAAUGCUAACAGGCCAGUUAGUCCCAGACACUAAAACCUUAAUAUAGUCACAAUAUGUUUUUUACACUUUUAUUUUGACAGUUGGUUGUCGGAUGUAGCUCCUGGGCGAGAGUAGAGUUCUGCGAUGUGAUUGGCUCCUCAGCGGAGAUCCGGAGGAGACCUGCAGCUGGGGUUCUUUAGAUUAGAAACACAGCAACAGACUGUUGGAGGUUAAGGUGGAUUCAGGGCUGUUUAUUGUAUUGAAUCAGAUCAAGUAACAGAGUCAUUGUGAUGUAUUGAUUGGACAUGUUCUAAUAGUUUCAGCGCUUUGGACAGAUGUUUGCUGUGGUUUAAAAUGAAGACUGUAUUCUCUGUAGGUGAAUAUGGAAGGGUGGUUAGAGUUUCCCCCGGUCUCCAGUAAAGUGGAGCAGCAGAAGAUCCAGCUCUGAUCAGCAGCUCCACACCUCUGUACUCAGACUGCUCUGCUGGAGGAACACCGUCAGCUCACCUGCUGCAGAAGUGUUCCUGUUCCAAGUUGUUUCCUGAUCCAAGUGAAAUGGAUAAAGUUUGACUUCAUAAAUACAAGAUUUUACAAAAAAUGUAUGCUGCUGAAGGAAAGGGAGAACAUGGCAUCCCAAGAAAUCUCCAAUACUCAACAAACACUCUCUCCUACACCUCACACGCAAAUGCAGAAAAGUACAGACAAGAAGAAAACUCACCACUGUUCAGACUGUGGGAAGAGUUUUACUCAUCAGAUUAAUCUUAAAACACACCAGCGCAUUCACACUGGAGAAAAACCAUAUCACUGCUCAGAUUGUGGAAAGAACUUUACUAAACAAGGUAAUCUCCAAGAACACCAGCGCAUUCACACUGGAGAGAAACCAUAUCACUGUUCAGAGUGUGGGAAGAGUUUUAUUCGUCAGAUUCAUCUCCAGCAACACCAGCACAUUCACACUGGAGAGAAACCAUUUCACUGUUCAGACUGUGGGAAGAGCUUUACCAAACAGAGUAAUCUCCAGCAGCACCAGCUCAUUCACACUGGAGAGAAACAAUAUCAUUGUUUAGACUGUGGGAAUUAUUUUUCUAGGUAUAGUACUCUCCAAAAUCACCGGCGCAUUCACACUGGAGAGAAACCGUUUCACUGCUCGGACUGUGGGAAGAGUUUUAAUCAUCAGAGUAAUCUCCAGCGACACCAGCUUGUUCACACUGGAGAGAAACCAUAUCUCUGCUCAGACUGUGGGAAGAGCUUUAGUCGUCAUAGUCAAUUUCAGCAACACCAGCGCAUUCACACUGGAGAGAAACCGUAUCACUGCUCAGAAUGUGGGAAAAGUUUUACCCAACAGGGUGAUCUGAAAACACAUCGGCUCAUUCACACUGGAGAGAAACCAUAUUACUGCUCAGAGUGUGCCACGAACUUCAGGCAUGUACAAUCACUUAAGACACACAAUUGUAUGAAAAGAAGUUUGGAGAUGCAUUAGUCCCAUUGUAACAGUCAACUUACUGUUGUGCCUUUAAGAAAUAGUUAAUUUAUCUGUAAGUUUACAUGCAUGGGGAAACAGUGGACUGUGGUAAGCAACCAUCUUUUAUUAUUUUAGAAACACUACUUUGGAAAGGGUGUAACAGUAAAUUCAUGGUACAUGGUGCAAAACACUAGGAGGGUGAAGACUUGCUCAUGCCUCCUUCAACACAUGUGAAGCCAGCCACCAACUCUUUUUGAGCUGCUGCUGAUGCAGCAUUACUGAGUAACAUCACAGAGCACUCGGAGGAAAACAGAGCAACUCAGUUCCAAUACAUCGGCUCACAGACACAGCCUUGUUCUGAUCGACAUCACCCUUUGGAGUGAUUUGGGGUGAGAGCGCCAACUAUACACCCAGAGAGAGCAAGGCCGAUUGUGCUCUCUCAGGGCUUCGGUAGCUGAUGGCAAGCUACAUGAACAGGAUUCGAAAGGCAAUCUCCUGAUGCUAUAUGCUAUACAUAUUUAAGUGCCUAUGUUUACAUGAGCUUUUGAUUACUUUGUUUUAUUUCUAAAGGGUGUUAUUAAAGAUAUCCACACACUCA